UUGAAGUUGUUCGGCUACUGUAAUUGCAAUUUGUAAUAACGCAGUCGCUAUAAGAGGCGUUAGAGCUGUUGCUGUUUCGUGGGGUUAAUGCUAUCGUUGCUACCAUGAAUUAAAAGGAAAGGGAAUUGUCACGAUAAGUUUAUGCGAACCCGGCUAAUCGAGGUUCGAAGACUCAGUUUGAAGCUGCGGGCGAUUAUUGACUUUAUUUAUGAGUUGAGUUACCUUCAUAGA